GACAGAGGGGGCAAGCGUUGCUCGGAAUUAGCUGGGCGUAAAGGGCGCGUAGGCGGGAUGGCAAGUCGGUCGUGAAAUCCCUCGGCUCAACCGAGGAACGUCGAUCGAUACUGCUGUUCUUGAGGAUUGCAGAGGAGACUGGAAUUCCCGGAUGUAGCGGUGAAAUGUGUAGAGAUCGGGAGGAACACCGGUGGCGAAGGCGGGUCUCUGGGCAAUUCCUGACGCUGAGGCGCGAAAGCGUGGGGAGCAAACGGG
rnacentral:rRNA from 1 species